rnacentral:misc_RNA from 1 species
GUGAAUCAUCAAAUUUUUGAACGCAAAUUGCGCUUCUUGGUAUCCCGGGGAGUAUGCCUGUUUGAGGGUCAGUAUUAACAAAAAAUUCGGUGUGGUUGCAAAUUGUGAUGCGUCGGGAGUUUGGGGUAUUUUAACUUUUUUGGUUAAGGGGCGUAAAAUUGACCUUUUUUGCGCAUUUUUAGAAGUACAUU